rnacentral:rRNA from 1 species
UACGUAGGAGGCAAGCGUUGUCCGGAUUUACUGGGCGUAAAGCGCGCGCAGGCGGCAGUGCAAGUAAGGUGUGAAAUCUCCCUGCUCAACGGGGAGGGUGCAUUUUAGACUGCACAGCUAGAGGUCGGUAGAGGGGGGUGGAAUUGCUGGUGUAGCGGUGAAAUGCGUAGAGAUCAGCAGGAACACCCGUGGCGAAGGCGGCCCCCUGGGCCGUACCUGACGCUGACUGCG